GCCCAGACUCCUACGGGAGGCAGCAGUGGGGAAUAUUGCACAAUGGGGGAAACCCUGAUGCAGCGACGCCGCGUGAGCGAUGAAGUAUUUCGGUAUGUAAAGCUCUAUCAGCAGGGAAGAAAAUGACGGUACCUGACUAAGAAGCCCCGGCUAACUACGUGCCAGCAGCCGCGGUAAUACGUAGGGGGCAAGCGUUAUCCGGAUUUACUGGGUGUAAAGGGAGCGUAGACGGCUGUGCAAGCCAGAUGUGAAAGCCCGGGGCUCAACCCCGGGACUGCAUUUGGAACUGUGUGGCUGGAGUGUCGGAGAGGCAGGCGGAAUUCCUAGUGUAGUGGUGAAAUGCGUAGAUAUUAGGAGGAACACCAGUGGCGAAGGCGGCCUGCUGGACGAUGACUGACGUUGAGGCUCGAAAGCGUGGGGAGCAAACAGGAUUAGAUACCCUCGUA
rnacentral:rRNA from 1 species